AUACAAUCACAAAUCACAGUCAAAUGUGUCAUAUAGCACAUCACAACCUUCAAGGGUUACUUCACUCAAAAAAAACGUUCACUUGCCCUCAUUUGGUUCUAAACCUGCAGGACUGACUGAACACGCAGCAGAACUGCUGACGUUCCCUGCCGAGCUCCACAACACGGUGGGAACUGAAGCACUACUAUCUGGGACCUCAUGAACAACCGAGUUAAACGUAACGGACAAUAAAGGCAUUUUUUUGAGGAUUAGGCCUAAGAAUGAGGCUGAAUACUGCCAACCCCCAAUGAUUCAAAAAUGCACAAUGCAAUUAGAUUCUUAGUCUAUGACGCUUCAAAGCCAUGAUAAAAAUAUCUACUCUGACUCGUCGAUAAAAAGAGAACAAGCAGGUUUAAAGAAACAAGCCACUUUUAUGAUAAUAUGCUCCCCUGGAGUUAAAGAGUUGAGUUUCACUGUUUUUAAACCCAUUCAGCCGAUCCCUGGGUCUCACGGUAGCACUUUUAGCUGUAGCUUAGCAUAGAUCAUUGAAUCUGAUUAGUUCAGCAGCAGUUCCUCGAUUGUUAUGCUGGAACGAGAGUAUACUUCCUAGUCAUAUCGGCCUAGGAAACUUUUCAUUUUCCGUCAGUCUUAGUACGCGAUGUAACUACAGAAGAGUCAGGUUUUAAAUAGGAAAAAUACUGAAAAUACUCCUCUGUCAUUUUUGAGAAUGAUGCUGAUUCAAUGAUCUAUGCUAAGCUACAGCUAAAAGUGCAGAGAUCGACUGAAUGGAUUAAACUGUAAAACUCAACUGUUCAGCUCUAGAAAAGGGCCUAUUUUUGAAAAAAGUGGCAUAUUCCUUUUAAUAUCCCAGUAUUACAGAUAACUUUGCAUUCACGUUUGCAUGCAUUCAACUUUAAACGUUCAUUGGUAACGCAUCUGUGCUAAAUGAGUGACAGAAUGAUCAUUUUUUUGAGUGAUGCCUUUAAAAGGCACAGGGCUCCAGACUAACAUCUGAGAGAAGGCUCCAGCGCCACCAAGUUCAGAUGAUGGUGAAACUAGGAGCAGAUUUGGUAUAUCAAAUUUGUGAUUUAUGAUUCUGGCUCACACAGACAUGCUUUACAAUCAUAAAUGCUUUCAGUCUGAAUUUGAAACAUGUUCCCAAAAGUAAACCAAUUAGAUGUUUAUCAAAAAGGUGUAACUUAUCUCAAGAACAGCCAGAACAACUUUAAUUCAGAUGCUGAAACCAUCUCUGCACCUCUGUGAAGAGUUUAGAAGUUAGUCUAAGAUCGUUGACUUCUACAGAGUGUGUGUGAACCUGGCGUCACGUCUGUAUGCCCGAAUGAGUAGUGUGGUCCAGUAACACUUGUUUCGUUUGCCGUUCGAUGUUUCUCAUAUGCAGUUCUUAUGAGUCUGGAGCCCUGUGGUACAUUCAAUGUUUGUGCAGUUUAUCCUUUAAGCUCCGCCUCUGAUUGACAGUCUAUUAGGCAUAUAGCUAGUUAAUGCCCCAGCAUGCAGCAGGGACAUUAACGACAGACCAAGCUCUUAUGACUGCUCUGGGAAAAUGGCUUUCCUAAGGCUUUCCUUCUUCACCUGACCGAUGCCAAUAUUUAUCCAUCCAAUGACAAAUAUUUAGUGGGAUCAUUGCACAGUUGCUGCAAUUCCAGUAAUAAUAAAUAAAGAAAUAAAUACCGCAAACCUGAGUGUGACUAAGCUGGGCAGGAAGGCAAGUGAGUGAAGUUUUAUGCUUAAAAAUCUUGUUACGCAUGCAUCUUUUUUGGUCAGAUUCAAACAAAACUUAUACGU